rnacentral:tRNA from 1 species
UGAGGCGUAGCCAAGUGGUAAGGCACCGGGUUUUGGUCCCGGCAUUCCUAGGUUCGAAUCCUAGCGCCUCAG